ensembl:lncRNA novel transcript
AUAGUUCACGAUGUUUUCCCCUGGAGAGCUAAUUGUUAAGCAUUUACCAGCACACUGCACCUUUGCGUCGUUAGUAAAAAUACAUCUCUAAGAAGAUCUUGGGUGCCACAGUUGGAGGAUAUGCAGUAUUUUAACACUCACUAGCCCAACGGUCACUUGCUGGGGAAACUGAGACCCAGAAGAGACAGGAUGUCAGCUCCAUGAGGUUGGGGACCUUGCCUGUUGUAUUCACUUCUAUCUCCUAGAACAGCGGCUGGCACAGAAGCAGGUCAAUGCAGAGGAGAACACUGAGGCUCAGAGAAGUUCAGUAACUUGGCCAAGGUCACACUUCCCUAUUUCCACUUUUGGACUAGUAGUCAAGCACUUAUCCCCCAGAGCCUCCAAGAAAAGGCUGUUGGACCAAGAUGCCCCAGUUGGACAAGGUCUUGGCCAAACAUCCAUCUCCAAAGGCCCGGGAGAAGAAGCUGGUGGGCAGAGCUGCCCCAAUUCAAUCCAGUUGAACUUCCAUCUGCCUUUGCAAGGACUCAGGGCUCAAAGGCAAAACACUGGUAAGCUCCUGAAGCUGGGGCAAGGACAAAAGAGAGCUAAUUAAGACUGAAAGCAAGACAAGGACCCCAAGCACUGCCUCCUUUUACUUUAGAGAGACCAGAUAGUCUUACAUUUCAGUCAUUUAUUUGCAGACAUCUAUAAUGGCAUCUUCAAGAGACCUGUGUGCACCUUGUCUGAGUUGAAGUACACACCCUGAAGAGGAGCCAGUUAUGAAGGACCAAAUGCACAUAUUAAAAUUAAACAUCACAC